rnacentral:rRNA from 1 species
UACAGAGGGUGCAAGCGUUAAUCGGAAUUACUGGGCGUAAAGCGCGCGUAGGCGGCUUGACAAGUCGAGUGUGAAAUCCCCAGGCUUAACCUGGGAACUGCAUCCGAUACUGGAUGGCUUGAAUCCGGGAGAGGGAUGCAGAAUUCCAGGUGUAGCGGUGAAAUGCGUAGAUAUCUGGAGGAAUACCGGUGGCGAAGGCGGCAUCCUGGACCGGCAUUGACGCUGAGGAGCGAAAGCUAGGGGAGCAAACGGG